ensembl:lncRNA
UACAUAUUCAACACAGGAAAUUGAGGUUAGUCCUAUUUUGCCCUGCUCUUUGAAUUAUAACUGGAGAUGCAGGGUGGAAAGGUGGAGGAAGAAGAGAUAAAGUGUUUAUCAGGGAAGAGAUAGAGGGAAACAAGACAUUCCUACAUUUUCUUCAGAAAGUGACUGAGAAGCUGUGUCUAAAAAGUGUUUUGACAAUGUGGGGGGAAGGAAAAUGGGCAUCCUUCUAAAUGAGGCCCAUAGAAUCAUCAUCGUUUUUGAGGGGGAAGAGCUGAGGUAGAGCUGCACUGUAAUAUCUCUGAUAUAUAAAGAUGCUGGAAGCCAAAUUUCCCCACUAAACAACCUUACAUGAUUCAGUAACAAUCUGCUGCAGGAAUCACUGACAUGGAUGACUGUUCUUUGACUUUUAACCUCCAGGCCAGGACAGCCUUCAGGAACCACUGUAAGUUUAUAAGUUUAUUUCUGAUCCAUGAAGCAUGGUGGUUUUUUGUUGUUGUUGUUGUUGUUGUUGUUGUUUUUGUUUUGUUUUGUUUUGGUUACACUUUAUUGACCUCACACAUUCUGGUAGACAGAAAUAGGCUAUACAUGAUUGUACAUCCUCAAGCUGUCAUGCAGUACAUUGAGGAUCCUCAUACAGGAUAUUUUACAGCACAUGCAAGAUGAGUUCCACUGUUUACUGUUUCCACAUAUUACUGAUGGAAGACCAGGGACUGAGGGCUGCUGAGAAAACUCCACUUGACUGACUGAUUGAUUAGGUGGCCUGCACUGGAAAUCCCC